rnacentral:lncRNA from 1 species
GGUGGAGGCGGGUGUAUAGGAAAUCUCCGUACCUUUGCUUUUGUUACAAACCUAAUAUUGCUUUUAAAAAGUUACUUCAAAGUGAAAAGUGAGAAUUGAGGGGGGAAAAAAUGCUUUCAGGAAUUCCCGUUGUGGCUCAGUGAUAAUGAACCUGACUAGUUUCCUUGAGGGCACGGAUUUGAUCCCUGGUCCCACUCAGUAGGUUAAGGGUCUGGCAUUGCCCUGAGCUGCGGUGUAGGUCGAAGACUCAGCUUGGAUCUGGCAUUCCUAUGGUGUAGCCCGGCCGCUGUAGCUCUGAUUCGACCCCUAGCUGGGGAACUUCCAUAUGCCACAGGUGUGGCUCCAAAAAUACAAAAAAAGUUAACAAUAAAAAAAGCUUUCACUUGUUGCUGUGGUGCUGUCUGACUUGGUUAUUAGUGGUCCAAGUGAAGCGUUGGUAGGAAAAACUCACUGGCUUAAUUUAAGUUUCAGCCACUCUGGCUCUUAGAGCUAUGAAUAGACUCACUCUUAUUUGUUUGGCCUUUGGGGGAAAAAUCACCUCUUAAAAGUAUGCUUUGUAAGAAGGGUACUAGAUUUCUCUUGAAAAUAACAUUUUAUGUACUAAAACUUUUAAGAACGAAAAAGUUGCUGAACAUAGAGCAAGCAAUUAAAAAAACUGAUCAAAUACAAUGUUAAUACUGAGAAUUGCUGAUACAAAGAAAUGUCAGAAACACUGACAUUACCCCCUUAAUUCUGUUGAGUUAUAUUGUGUAUGUUAAGUUGCACAGAGCUUAAAUGAAGCCCAUAAUGAAUUUUUAUAUAUUGUGUAAACUUCUUUCAGCACCACACAUAAGAAGGUCUAGCACAUUUCUAGCGCGAUAGAAGGCAUUCACCUUGCAGUCAGUGCUUACCCCCAGGGGAGCCAUUAUUCUGUUUUACCCCUUUUUGAAUUUCAUAUAAAUGAAAGAGAUGACAUGUAGGUUUUUGCACCUGACUUCUUUUUACUCAGCAUUACAUCUGUGAGAUUCAUCUAUAUUAUUGUGCGUAUCACUAGUUCAUCCUUUUUUAUCCAUGUGUAGGUUUCUAUUGCAGUUAUAUACCACAAUUGACAUAUUUUACUGUUGCUGGAUAAUCUUUUCCAGAGGGUGGCUAUUAUCUGAAUACUAUUUUAUAUAUCCUUUGGAGGACAAAAGCAUUCACGUUGUGUGUAUGAAAGUGUAUAUAGAUUUACUAAGUGCUGCCAAAAGUUUUUCUAAAGUCACUGUGCCAAUUAACAGUCCCACCAGUUACAGAGGGUUUUCUUCUUCCUCAGUUCUUCAUAUUCUUAAUUUUAGCCAUUCUGCUGGCUGUUACUGAUAUCUCAUUGUCAUUUGCAUUUUUCCAAUGAAUAAUUAUGCCGAGAAUUUUUUCAUAUAUUUAUUAUCCUAAACUUUUUUUUAAUGUAAGAUUUGGGAGUUCAGCUUAAAAUUUACUCAGGAAGCCUGGGUAUAGAGUAAGUUUCCUGGUAGUGAAAAAACAAAGGUGAGAGAAAGAGAACCACUGUUUACUUAGUGCCUAUCAUGUUGUGAGAACUUUACAUGUGCUAUUUCAAUUAAUUCGUUUAACAGCCAUAUGUAGUAGAUAUUUUCUAAUGAAUGAUAAAGUUUGCAUGUCGAUGAAUAGAAUUUACUCAAUUUUCUAUCCUCUUCUCUUCCUAUACUCUAAUUUUCCUUCACUCCCACAUAUAUUAGAAGUUAACGUUUUUCCAGACUUCUGAAGAAUUAUGGUUAUUUCCCUGGCUUCUUAAUGAUGCUUCCUUAACCCAUUAACAGUCUAACAUCAUGUUGUGUAGCCUUCUGUAUGCCUUUGGUGUUUCAGUUUUUAUGAUAAAUCAUUACCUUUAUGAUUUAAGGCACAUAAAAGUUAUUUCCAUUC